UACGGAGGAUGCAAGCGUUAUCCGGAAUGGUUGGGCGUAAAGCGUCCGCAGGUGGCAAUGUAAGUCUGCUGUUAAAGAGUCUAGCUCAACUAGAUAAAAGCAGUGGAAACUACAUAGCUAGAGUACGUUCGGGGCAGAGGGAAUUCCUGGUGUAGCGGUGAAAUGCGUAGAGAUCAGGAAGAACACCAGUGGCGAAGGCGCUCUGCUAGGCCGUAACUGACACUGAGGGACGAAAGCUAGGGGAGCGAAUGGG
rnacentral:rRNA from 1 species